GGGACACGUGGUAUCCUGUCUGAAUAUGGGGGGACCAUCCUCCAAGGCUAAAUACUCCUGACUGACCGAUAGUGAACCAGUACCGUGAGGGAAAGGCGAAAAGAACCCCGGCGAGGGGAGUGAAAAAGAACCUGAAACCGUGUACGUACAAGCAGUGGGAGCACGCUUAGGCGUGUGACUGCGUACCUUUUGUAUAAUGGGUCAGCGACUUAUAUUCUGUAGCAAGGUUAACCGAAUAGGGGAGCCGAAGGGAAACCGAGUCUUAACUGGGCGUUAAGUUGCAGGGUAUAGACCCGAAACCCGGUGAUCUAGCCAUGGGCAGGUUGAAGGUUGGGUAACACUAACUGGAGGACCGAACCGACUAAUGUUGAAAAAUUAGCGGAUGACUUGUGGCUGGGGGUGAAAGGCCAAUCAAACCGGGAGAUAGCUGGUUCUCCCCGAAAGCUAUUUAGGUAGCGCCUCGUGAAUUCAUCUCCGGGGGUAGAGCACUGUUUCGGCAAGGGGGUCAUCCCGACUUACCAACCCGAUGCAAACUGCGAAUACCGGAGAAUGUUAUCACGGGAGACACACGGCGGGUGCUAACGUCCGUCGUGAAGAGGGAAACAACCCAGACCGCCAGCUAAGGUCCCAAAGUCAUGGUUAAGUGGGAAACGAUGUGGGAAGGCCCAGACAGCCAGGAUGUUGGCUUAGAAGCAGCCAUCAUUUAAAGAAAGCGUAAUAGCUCACUGGUCGAGUCGGCCUGCGCGGAAGAUGUAACGGGGCUAAACCAUGCACCGAAGCUGCGGCAGCGACGCUGAUGCGUUGUUGGGUAGGGGAGCGUUCUGUAAGCCUGCGAAGGUGUGCUGUGAGGCAUGCUGGAGGUAUCAGAAGUGCGAAUGCUGACAUAAGUAACGAUAAAGCGGGUGAAAAGCCCGCUCGCCGGAAGACCAAGGGUUCCUGUCCAACGUUAAUCGGGGCAGGGUGAGUCGACCCCUAAGGCGAGGCCGAAAGGCGUAGUCGAUGGGAAACAGGUUAAUAUUCCUGUACUUGGUGUUACUGCGAAGGGGGGACGGAGAAGGCUAUGUUGGCCGGGCGACGGUUGUCCCGGUUUAAGCGUGUAGGCUGGUUUUCCAGGCAAAUCCGGAAAAUCAAGGCUGAGGCGUGAUGACGAGGCACUACGGUGCUGAAGCAACAAAUGCCCUGCUUCCAGGAAAAGCCUCUAAGCAUCAGGUAACAUCAAAUCGUACCCCAAACCGACACAGGUGGUCAGGUAGAGAAUACCAAGGCGCUUGAGAGAACUCGGGUGAAGGAACUAGGCAAAAUGGUGCCGUAACUU
rnacentral:rRNA from 1 species